UGCAUCUGCAGCUCAUGAGGAUGAGAACCUCCGGGGGCAGGGAGGUUCGACUCGAGCGAAGCGAGAGAACGUUGCGCCAGCAACGGCCCGCAGGGCGAGC
rnacentral:sRNA from 1 species